rnacentral:rRNA from 1 species
UACCAGCUCUCCGAGUGGUAGGGAUGAUUAUUGGGCUUAAAGCGUCCGUAGCCGGCUUAGCAAGUCUCCUGUUAAAUUCAGCGACCUAAUCGUUGAGCCGCGGGAGAUACUACUAGGCUAGGAGGCGGGAGAGGUCAACGGUACUUCCGGGGUAGGGUGAAAUCCUAUAAUCCCGGGAGGACCACCAGUGGCGAAGGCUGUUGACUAGAACGCGCUCGACGGUGAGGGACGAAAGCUGGGGGAGCGAACCGGAUUAGAUACCCGGGUAGUCCCAGCUGUAAACGAUGCGGGCUAGGUGUUGGGGUGGCUACGAGCCACUUCAGUGCCGCAGGGAAGCCAUUAAGCCCGCCGCCCGGGGAGUACGGCCGCAAGGCUGAAACUUAAGGAAUUGGCGGGGAGCACCACAAGGCGUGAAGCUUGCGGUUC